rnacentral:lncRNA from 1 species
GAAAUGAGAAGUAUUUGGGAUGCUAAGAGGGGAGAAAUGGAGGUGGAGAAGCUUUGGAAGAGUAAAGAGGGGAAGGGAGAGAGUUGGGGUCGGUUCCACCGUCGGCCCUAGCUCGGUUUAAAAGGGGCAAGAUUGCGGGCGGUUGCACCGCUGGCUGGGGCGGUGCAACCGCUUGCAACCCGUGACAGCCGGCGGUGCUAC